CAAUUCAGAACAUUCCCUAACGGCACCCAAAGGAGCGUGUCCAGAUUCAAUUCAAAACAUUCCCUAACGGCGCUCAAAUUAUAGUGCAAUGGCCGUUGUAAAAAACAGUGACCGUUGAAAAAAGGAAGGAUUAAAUUUCUUAUAAAUGGGCGGUAUACUUGAGAAGCAGGACAGAUUUCCCGUUCUGUUUUCUUUUUGGUUUGAUAUGUUUCCAUUGUGUGUUUUUGGCGUGGCCAUGCCUAUUUUGAAUUUUUCUUUCCUGAGUUUUGGUUUCCAAUUUUUAUAGUUUUUUGGUAUUUCGUGUAUCUUCUUUUUUCUGUGGGUUGUCAGUUUUUAAUGGGCACGGAGUAGUCGACAGCAAGAACUCUACAUUCUGGAGUGGCUGAUUGGAGAUGUGGCCAGAAAAUAGGCAGAGCUAGAGGUGAUUGACUCUGAACAGGGCAGAGCUAGAGGUGAUUGACUCUGCUUGAUCAUUUUAACAAUAUCUUGGUCACCAUGUUGUCGAUGGGCUUCCAUAUGCACAGUGAGAUUUCAUUUUUCUUGUAUAUGGGCUUCCAUGUACUAAUAAAAUGUAUAAUAUUAUAUCAACUAUAUAAUAUUUUUCUCUGAACAGGGCAGAGCUAGAGGUGAUUGACUCUGCUUGAUCAUUUUAACAAUAUCUUGGUCACCAUGUUGUCGAUGGGCUUCCAUAUGCACGGGCAGAGACAGAGGUGAUCGACUCUGCUUGACUAUUUUAACAGUAUCUUGGUCACCAUGUUGUUGAGGUUCUAUCAUCCAUGCACGGUGGAUUUCAUGUUUCUUGUAUAUGGGCUUUCAUGUUCUUAUAAAUGUAUUGGGUUUUUAUAUUGGUCUUUGUAUUUUCUUAAAUCUAUUGGGUUUUCUAUUUUGCAAUGCUCUUUUUGCAUGACUUGAAGUAGUUUUUUAUUCUUUUGUGUUUUCAAUGUUGCUCGGUGCUUAAAUCAUUGGCAUGUCAUCGUCAUUCUAAUUGAUUCUUAUACAUUCUCC